UCCCGUACUUGGUGUUACUGCGAAGGGGGGACGGAGAAGGCUAUGUUGGCCGGGCGACGGUUGUCCCGGUUUAAGCGUGUAGGCUGGUUUUCCAGGCAAAUCCGGAAAAUCAAGGCUGAGGCGUGAUGACGAGGCACUACGGUGCUGAAGCAACAAAUGCCCUGCUUCCAGGAAAAGCCUCUAAGCAUCAGGUAACAUCAAAUCGUACCCCAAACCGACACAGGUGGUCAGGUAGAGAAUACCAAGGCGCUUGAGAGAACUCGGGUGAAGGAACUAGGCAAAAUGGUGCCGUAACUUCGGGAGAAGGCACGCUGACACGUAGGUGAAGUGAUUUACUCAUGGAGCUGAAGUCAGUCGAAGAUACCAGCUGGCUGCAACUGUUUAUUAAAAACACAGCACUGUGCAAACACGAAAGUGGACGUAUACGGUGUGACGCCUGCCCGGUGCCGGAAGGUUAAUUGAUGGGGUCAGCGCAAGCGAAGCUCCUGAUCGAAGCCCCGGUAAACGGCGGCCGUAACUAUAACGGUCCUAAGGUAGCGAAAUUCCUUGUCGGGUAAGUUCCGACCUGCACGAAUGGCGUAAUGAUGGCCAGGCUGUCUCCACCCGAGACUCAGUGAAAUUGAACUCGCUGUGAAGAUGCAGUGUACCCGCGGCAAGACGGAAAGACCCCGUGAACCUUUACUAUAGCUUGACACUGAACAUUGAGCCUUGAUGUGUAGGAUAGGUGGGAGGCUUUGAAGUGUGGACGCCAGUCUGCAUGGAGCCGACCUUGAAAUACCACCCUUUAAUGUUUGAUGUUCUAACGUGGACCCGUUACCCGGGUUGCGGACAGUGUCUGGUGGGUAGUUUGACUGGGGCGGUCUCCUCCUAAAGAGUAACGGAGGAGCACGAAGGUUGGCUAAUCCUGGUCGGACAUCAGGAGGUUAGUGCAAUGGCAUAAGCCAGCUUGACUGCGAGCGUGACGGCGCGAGCAGGUGCGAAAGCAGGUCAUAGUGAUCCGGUGGUUCUGAAUGGAAGGGCCAUCGCUCAACGGAUAAAAGGUACUCCGGGGAUAACAGGCUGAUACCGCCCAAGAGUUCAUAUCGACGGCGGUGUUUGGCACCUCGAUGUCGGCUCAUCACAUCCUGGGGCUGAAGUAGGUCCCAAGGGUAUGGCUGUUCGCCAUUUAAAGUGGUACGCGAGCUGGGUUUAGAACGUCGUGAGACAGUUCGGUCCCUAUCUGCCGUGGGCGCUGGAGAACUGAGGGGGGCUGCUCCUAGUACGAGAGGACCGGAGUGGACGCAUCACUGGUGUUCGGGUUGUCAUGCCAAUGGCACUGCCCGGUAGCUAAAUGCGGAAGAGAUAAGUGCUGAAAGCAUCUAAGCACGAAACUUGCCCCGAG
rnacentral:rRNA from 1 species